GAAUAUACUUUUUGACUCCCAGUCGAAGGUCCGGUACGUCUUGAUCGCUGUUCCAGCUUCAUUUCUAAGGUCUGGGUCGACCCAAUUGCUGUUUAUAACUCCGAUUGAUGGACAGCGACGGUGGUAGCCGCCGUUUCGUGAGGAUGUAGGGUUUUUAUUUGGGCGGAGACAAAAAUAAAAUGUUUGCUGGAAACGGUGGCGUUUUUGGUGUUGGCGGUAACAUCCAUUGUUUCUGACGUGGCAUAUUAUGCCACAUAAUCAAUACAGUUACCGCAGAGAGUUUAAACUUUAAAGAUAUUUCUUGAAGAACUUGGUGUUUUCCGCUGGAAAUUUGAAAUUCUUAUAGAGGGAAGGUGUUUUUGGGCCAAUACUUGAUAUGGAUUAUGUUACUGCUGGGACAGAUACAUGGAUCCAAAAGCUGUAUUCAGAAUGAAAAGAACGCUUUGUUGGACUAAUGAC